rnacentral:misc_RNA from 1 species
UCAAAUGUUACCUCUGGUAACUUUAUAAUCCCUUAACACCUGUGCAUUUUGUCGCUCCGGCGAUAUCAUACAAACAUCAGUGUAAUGAAUGUAAAUUAUCAUAACAAAUA